GAUGAACGCUGGCGGCGUGCCUAAUACAUGCAAGUCGAGCGAACAGACGAGGAGCUUGCUCCUCUGACGUUAGCGGCGGACGUGUGAGUAACACGUGGAUAACCUACCUAUAAGACUGGGAUAACUUCGGGAAACCGGAGCUAAUACCGGAUAAUAUAUUGAACCGCAUGGUUCAAUAGUGAAAGACGGUUUUGCUGUCACUUAUAGAUGGAUCCGCGCCGCAUUAGCUAGUUGGUAAGGUAACGGCUUACCAAGGCAACGAUGCGUAGCCGACCUGAGAGGGUGAUCGGCCACACUGGAACUGAGACACGGUCCAGACUCCUACGGGAGGCAGCAGUAGGGAAUCGUCCGAAAUGGGCGAAAGCCUGACGGAGCAACGCCGCGUGAGUGAUGAAGGUCUUCGGAUCGUAAAACUCUGUUAUUAGGGAAGAACAAAUGUGUAAGUAACUAUGCACGUCUUGACGGUACCUAAUCAGAAAGCCACGGCUAACUACGUG
rnacentral:rRNA from 1 species